UGCCUAAAAAUGCAGCGGACCGGAAAUCUUUGAAGAAGUGUUCCGAUAUAUAUUUUGUGAAUCAGAAGAUGCCAAAAAAUGCCAAAAAAUUCUCUUUCGAAAGUGUUCAAGUGCAAAUGAAAAAAAAAUUUAUUUCUGACAAAUAUAUAUUUAUACAAGGGUAAUUGUAGGAGUACUGGAUAAAGUUUUCCAGAUUCAUCAACAACACGUGAAAGAUUUGCGGCCUCAAGCCACCAAUUCUUCAUAAGCGGAAAAAUUGAAAUGCCACACUCUGCCUUGGCCGAAAAUAACACGCUCCUCAAAACGUCCUCAGAGAAUCGCGAUCGCUUCAUAAAUCCCGCUUGCGUUCGUCAUCAACAUUGUUACAUCUUCAAUCUCCGGCUUACACUUCAUAGUCGACUACACCACGUUUCCAAUCGUCUGCUCACGUAUCGAAUCGCACCUCAGAUCGAAUCAGGAACGAUAUGCAUGCCAUGCUUGGCUUGGAGAAAAUUGAACUUGGAAUGGAUUGCAUACGGAAGCUUGGACUUCUUGAAGAUAGGCUAUAAAAGUGGAUGGAAUUGGCACGAAAUUGUUUAAUCUUGCUUCAUGUAGCCUUGUAACAGGAAAUUAGUUUGUAACCUUGAAAUUUUAUGAUUUUGGAUUGAAUUUUGUAACUUGGAUGGAAAUGUUGUAAAUUAAUAAUGUGAAUAUGGUUUGGUUUGUAAAGGUUGAGUAUUAUGAUAAAAAUGAAUUAAAAGUUGUAAAAGUGAAUUGGAUUUUGAUUUGUUA